CCAAUAGCGUAUAUUAAAGUUGUUGCAGUUAAAAAGCUCGUAGUUGAAUUUCGGGAUCAAUGCGUCGGUCGUGCCUUCGGUACGUACUGGCGUCAUCGAUUCCUCCCUUCUGAAGAACCGUGAUGUCAUUAAUUUGGUGUUACGGGGAAUCAGGACUGUUACCUUGAAAAAAUUAGAGUGUUUAAAGCAGGCUAACGCUUGAAUACAUUAGCAUGGAAUAAUGAAAUAGGACGUUCGAACCUAUUUUGUUGGUUUCUAGGAUCGACGUAAUGAUUAAUAGGGAUAGUUGGGGGCAUUAGUAUUCAAUUGUCAGAGGUGAAAUUCUUGGAUUUAUUGAAGACUAACUACUGCGAAAGCAUUUGCCAAGGAUGUUUUCAUUAAUCAAGAACGAAAGUUAGGGGAUCGAAGACGAUCAGAUACCGUCGUAGUCUUAACCAUAAACUAUGCCGACUAGGGAUCGGAUGAUGUUAAUUUUAUAAUGACUCAUUCGGCGCCUUACG
rnacentral:rRNA from 1 species